AUCGCUUCUCAGCCUUUUGGCUGAGAUCAAGUGUAGUAUCUGCUCUUACCAGUUUAAUAUCUGAUACAUUCUCUAUCCACAAAUAUAUUCAGGAAUUAUUUCUGCAAUGCAUAUAUUCUAUACAUUUUUCGAUACAUUAAAAGUGUCACUUGGUGACUGUAUUACAUAAUAUGUACCAAAACUAUU
ensembl:snRNA U2 U2 spliceosomal RNA